AUGGUGUUUAGACAAUACACACUUCCAAAGCAGCUGUAAAAGCCAUGCCAAAUCCGUGUUCCAGUCCUUAAGACAGGAUUUAAAAAAAAAAAAAGCCAGGUGUAGCAGGCCCAAAGGGCCUACUGCCCACCAUUGCCUUCCGACCAGGCUCUAUAGGUCUCAGUGGACUGGAAGAAGGAGGACAUAGGCUAUAUAGAAGUUUUAAUUAGCUGUUAUUAACACGGCCAAUUAUACCACAACUUCUGGGGGCUGUUAUUUCACAGUACAAUAUAUUCAGAGGUUGGACUCUCAUUUUUCAUCUCUUGAAGACCAUGAAUGGUCUCAUAUUUUACAAGAAUAACUGUGUCCUUAUCUUAUCUUGCAUUUCUGACUUCAGACCCAUGUAUUUAUUAUUUUUAAAAGAUUAAAUAAUCUUUGUCUUUCUGCAGUUCCAUGUACAGCAAGUCAAGAAGACAUGCAACGUAACAAUAUAAGGUUCAAGUGGUCAAGAAAUGAAAAAAUGUAUUUUGAAUCGGGAGAACGAAUAGAAUUCACCUUUACCAAGGCAAGAAAUGGGGAGAAGUCUACAACAGAGUUUUAACCAGCAUGUUAUCAUCAGAAACCACAGAUCAAUUACCUUUAAUAGCAUAAAAUUACAUUUAAUUUUUGCAAAUGCAUUUUUCAAAGAUUAUAUUUAGCUACUUUUAAUGGAUUGUAAAUCUUGCAUUGGACAUGUAUUUUACAGGCUAUUUCUAAAAGGUGAAGUUCAAAGAAGCAUAGGAUUGGUCUACUUUCAAUGUAAUUCAGUUUAAAGAACAGUGGGCCCUUCCCUUACGUGGGGUGUCCAUUCUGGAUCCCCCUGCAUAAGAGGAACUCCAUGUAUUCUUGUGACCCAUUGAAAACAAUCGAGUGCAUGCUCAUGGCGCCACUCACCACUGUCGCACAGCUUCAGCAUAACCUUGAAGCUGCAUAUAGUGCACCCGCAUACGGCGUGGGCACACUAUAGGACAAAUCUAUUGAAAGAAAAAAAACAUAUACUGAUAAUGUAUGCACUUUGCAUGUGAACUAGCAAAGGGGCCUAACAACCCUAAACAAUACAGUAGCUAUGUAUAACUUCAGUCAUUACUUUUUGUUUGAAAAUUUUUUGUGUAUUUU